rnacentral:rRNA from 1 species
GUGGGGAAUUUUGGACAAUGGGCGCAAGCCUGAUCCAGCAAUGCCGCGUGCAGGAAGAAGGCCUUCGGGUUGUAAACUGCUUUUGUCAGGGAAGAAAUCUUCUGGGCUAAUACCCCGGGAGGGUGACGGUACCUGAAGAAUAAGCACCGGCUAACUACGUGCCAGCAGCCGCGGUAAUACGUAGGGUGCGAGCGUUAAUCGGAAUUACUGGGCGUAAAGCGUGCGCAGGCGGCUUUGCAAGACAGAUGUGAAAUCCCCGGGCUCAACCUGGGAACUGCAGUUGUGACUGAAAGGCUAGAGUACGGCAGAGGGGGAUGGAAUUCCGCGUGUAGCAGUGAAAUGCGUAGAUAUGCGGAGGAACACCAAUGGCGAAGGCAAUCCCCUGGGCCUGUACUGACGCUCAUGCACGAAAGCGUGGGGAGCAAACAGGAUUAGAAACCCUAGUAGUCC